rnacentral:rRNA from 1 species
GACAGAGGGGCAAGCGUUGCUCGGAAUUACUGGGCGUAAAGCGUGCGCAGGCGGUUGUGCAAGACCGAUGUGAAAUCCCCGGGCUCAACCUGGGAAUGGCAUUUGGGACUGCAAGGCUGGAGUGCGGCAGAGGAGACUGGAAUUCCUGGUGUAGCAGUGAAAUGCGUAGAUAUCAGGAGGAACACCUGCGGUGUAGACGGCUUACUGGACCAUAACUGACGCUGGAGGCACGAAAAGCGUGGGGGAGCGAACAGG